rnacentral:rRNA from 1 species
CCUACGGGAGGCAGCAGUGAGGAAUAUUGGUCAAUGGACGAGAGUCUGAACCAGCCAAGUAGCGUGAAGGAUGACUGCCCUAUGGGUUGUAAACGUCUUUUAUAUGGGAAUAAAACGUUCCACGUGUGGGCUUUUGUAUGUACCAUAUAAAUAAGGAUCGGCUAAAUCCGUGCCAGAAGCAGCGGUAAGACGGAGGAUCCGAACGUUAUCCGGAUCUAUUGGGUUAAAAGGGAGCGUAGGUGGAUGGUUAAGUCAGUGGUCAAAUCGUGGGGCUCAACCCCAUCCAGCCGUGGAAACUGGGGAUCUAGAGGGUGCGAGAGGUAUGCGGAAUGCGUGGUGUAGCGGUGAAAUGCAUAGAUAUCACGCAGAACCCCGAUUGCGAAGGCAGCAUACCGGUGCACAACUGACGCUCAGGCACGAAAGCGUGGGUAUCGAACAGGAUUAGAUACCCCAGUAGUC